UGUAUUAUGUGAUUCUGGAGUAAAUGUUAACUUAGGUGUUGAAAGUUUUCUCCUAUUGCUAUUUACAGGUUGUGGUUUGGUGCAGUAGUCCCCCUUUUCUUCAUUCAACAGUAUUUAAGUAGGAUGUAGAUCAGCACUGCUGUUGAUGAGCCUGAUGUAAGCUGUGAGAUCCAGAUUCUGCAAGGCUUCAUCCUUAUCGAUCUAUGUUACAAGACUGUGGGUGAUCAGCAAUAUUAGAUGUAAUAUGGAUCUGCAUUUUGCAAGACUUCCUGCAAAAGUUCAUUGAAAAAAAGGUGUUGAAAUCCAAAUUCCUGAAAGCAAGAUCUACAUUUUGCAUAUCAUAGGUAGCUAUUACAGAUCGACUUUUCAUCAUAAGACUGACUGUUCAAGGAGCAAUAUGUAUUAGAGAGAGAUUGUCAUGCCUAUCUUCAUUCACCAAAUAACUAUGGAUGCUGCAGAUCUGCUCUCUGUAUUUAACUAAUGUAAGCAUUAAGAUCCAGAUACUGCAAGGCCUACUUUUGGAAUUGGGGCAUUGGUUACAAGACUUGUCACACCAUCAUUCAGCUGUAUGAGAGCAAACAAGGAUCUGCAUUUUUCAAGCCAUACUGAAGAAUUAAUUGAAAAUGGUAUUCCAGUAAAUGUCGGCAUCAUAAGGCUGACACUUCAAGGAGUGAUAAACUGUUGAAGUUGAAAUGGUAUAAAUGGGAUCCACUUGAUGAAAUGGCUGCUCUUCCUCGGAUGAACUAAGAUGUAGCAGUUACCAAAGGUUAUCCAUGCAGCCAUUGCAACAGCUGCCUUAGUCAUUCAAGUCAAGAUGUUUGGACCAUGGGUUUUAAUUUUGAUCGUGAAUGAAGCAGAUCCAGCCUAUGGGAAAGGACCAAUGAUUUUUCAUCUCGGUGUGAAGAUACUGAUGCUGAUGUGAAUGAGUCACAGUACUAUUUGUCUUGUUGAAUCCCUGAUCAUAUUGAAGAUUGCAUUGUUCCUGGUCCUCAAUACUCCCGUGACAAGCAAUUGGAUCUGCAGUGUUGCUAUUCCUUUAUAGAUGUGUAGAUAUUUUCUUUGAUGCUGUAAAUAAACUGGAUUGAAUUAC